CUGCAAGUCGAGGGGCAGUUCCGACUUCGGUUGGAAGCGACCGGCGAAUGGGUGAGUAACGCGUUUGUAACCUACCCCUGACAGGGGGAUAGCUCCCGGAAACGGGAAUUAAUACCCCAUAAUAUUCAUUCGGGGCAUCCUGUUUGAAUUAAAGCUCCGGCGGUCAGGGAUGGGCAUGCGUGGCAUUAGCUUGUUGGUGAGGUAACGGCUCACCAAGGCUUCGAUGUCUAGGGGGUCUGAGAGGAUGAUCCCCCACACUGGUACUGAGACACGGACCAGACUCCUACGGGAGGCAGCAGUGAGGAAUAUUGGGCAAUGGACGAAAGUCUGACCCAGCCAUGCCGCGUGCAGGAUGAAGGCCCUAUGGGUUGUAAACUGCUUUUAUACAGGAAGAAACCCCCGGAUGUAUUCGGGG
rnacentral:rRNA from 1 species